GACGAACGCUGGCGGCGUGCCUAAUACAUGCAAGUAGAACGCUGAAGAGAGGAGCUUGCUCUUCUUGGAUGAGUUGCGAACGGGUGAGUAACGCGUAGGUAACCUGCCUUGUAGCGGGGGAUAACUAUUGGAAACGAUAGCUAAUACCGCAUAACAAUGAGUGACACAUGUCAUUUAUUUGAAAGGGGCAAUUGCUCCACUACAAGAUGGACCUGCGUUGUAUUAGCUAGUAGGUGAGGUAACGGCUCACCUAGGCGACGAUACAUAGCCGACCUGAGAGGGUGAUCGGCCACACUGGGACUGAGACACGGCCCAGACUCCUACGGGAGGCAGCAGUAGGGAAUCUUCGGCAAUGGGGGCAACCCUGACCGAGCAACGCCGCGUGAGUGAAGAAGGUUUUCGGAUCGUAAAGCUCUGUUGUAAGUCAAGAACGAGUGUGAGAGUGGAAAGUUCACACUGUGACGGUAGCUUACCAGAAAGGGACGGCUAACUACGUGCCAGCAGCCGCGGUAAUACGUAGGUCCCGAGCGUUGUCCGGAUUUAUUGGGCGUAAAGCGAGCGCAGGCGGUUUGAUAAGUCUGAAGUUAAAGGCUGUGGCUCAACCAUAGUUCGCUUUGGAAACUGUCAAACUUGAGUGCAGAAGGGGAGAGUGGAAUUCCAUGUGUAGCGGUGAAAUGCGUAGAUAUAUGGAGGAACACCGGUGGCGAAAGCGGCUCUCUGGUCUGUAACUGACGCUGAGGCUCGAAAGCGUGGGGAGCGAACAGG
rnacentral:rRNA from 1 species